rnacentral:tRNA from 1 species
GCCAGUGUUGCUAAGUGGUUAGAGUGUUGGCCCUCACACCGAAGGGUCAAGGGUUCGAUUCCCGUCAAGGGCA